rnacentral:rRNA from 1 species
CGGCGAGCGAAGCGGGAAGAGCUCAAAUUUAUAAUCUGGCACCUUCGGUGUCCGAGUUGUAAUCUCUAGAAAUGUUUUCCGCGUUGGACCGCACACAAGUCUGUUGGAAUACAGCGGCAUAGUGGUGAGACCCCCGUAUAUGGUGCGGACGCCCAGCGCUUUGUGAUACAUUUUCGAAGAGUCGAGUUGUUUGGGAAUGCAGCUCAAAUUGGGUGGUAAAUUCCAUCUAAAGCUAAAUAUUGGCGAGAGACCGAUAGCGAACAAGUACCGUGAGGGAAAGAUGAAAAGCACUUUGGAAAGAGAGUUAACAGUACGUGAAAUUGUUGGAAGGGAAACGCUUGAAGUCAGACUUGCUUGCCGAGCAAUCGGUUUGCAGGCCAGCAUCAGUUUUCCGGGAUGGAUAAUGGUAGAGAGAAGGUAGCAGUUUCGGCUGUGUUAUAGCUCUCUGCUGGAUACAUCUUGGGGGACUGAGGAACGCAGUGUGCCUUUGGCGGGGGUUUCGACCUCUU